GACGAGUGGAACUCCAUGUGUAGCGGUGAAAUGCGUAGAUAUAUGGAGGAACACCAGUGGCGAAGGCGGCUGUCUGGUCUGUAACUGACGCUGAGGCUCGAAAGUGUGGGGAGCAAACAGGAUUAGAUACCCUGGUAGUCCAUGCCGUAAACGAUGAAUGCUAAGUGUUGGAGGGUUUCCGCCCUUCAGUGCUGCAGCUAACGCAUUAAGCACUCCGCCUGGGGAGUACGGCCGCAAGGUUGAAACUCAAAGGAAUUGACGGGGGCCCGCACAAGCGGUGGAGCAUGUGGUUUAAUUUGAAGCUACGCGAAGAACCUUACCAGGUCUUGACAUCCUUUGAACAUUUUAGAGAUUAGGCUUUCCCUUCGGGGGCAAAGAUACAGGUGGUGCAUGGUUGUCGUCAGCUCGUGUCGUGAGAUGUUGGGUUAAGUCCCGCAACGAGCGCAACCCUUAUUGUUAGUUGCCAUCAUUCAGUUGGGCACUCUAGCAAGACUGCCGGUGACAAACCGGAGGAAGGUGGGGAUGACGUCAAAUCAUCAUGCCCCUUAUGACCUGGGCUACACACGUGCUACAAUGGGAAGUACAACGAGUUGCGAAGUCGCGAGGGUAAGCUAAUCUUUUAAAGCCUUUCUCAGUUCGGAUUGCAGGCUGCAACUUGCCUACAUGAAGUCGGAAUCGCUAGUAAUCGCGGAUCAGCACGCCGCGGUGAAUACGUUCCCGGGCCUUGUACACACCGCCCGUCACACCCCGAGAGUUUGUAACACCCGAAGUCGGUGGGGUAACCUUUUUGGAGCCAGCCGCCUAAGGUGGACUAGAUGAUAGGGAAG
rnacentral:rRNA from 1 species